GCGCGUGUGUGUGUGUGUGUGUCUUUACACUAAUAUUCAAUGAUUAUUGCUUUGAAAGAUUCCAUUUUUUUGAAUUUGGUAUGGAUUUCAUCUUAUGUACUUUGUGUGGGCAGACAAAUGUUUCUAUUGUGCAAACAAAUGUUUCUAUUGUGCUUCUCUCUCUCUCUUUAUUGUGUGUUUUACAUGUCAAGCAUUUUGAUUUUGUUUCCAUGAUUGAACCAUCUAGAAACACUGGCAUGAAUUUGUAGAUAAUUCUUACUUUUUGUUAAGAAGUAGCAUACAAAUUGGACUAGCUGGA
rnacentral:misc_RNA from 1 species